UCGUGGCGGAAAGCUCAGUAACACGUGGCCAAACUACCCUACAGACCAGCAUAACCUCGGGAAACUGAGGCCAAUACUGGAUGCGCUUCGCACGGUGGAACGCCCCGAACGCGAAACGUUCAGGCGCUGUAGGAUGUGGCUGCGGCCGAUUAGGUAGACGGUGGGGUAACGGCCCACCGUGCCGAUAAUCGGUACGGGUCGAUGAGAGCGAGAGCCCGGAGACGGUAUCUGAGACUAGAUUCCGGGCCCUACGGGGCGCAGCAGGCGCGAAACCUUUACACUGCACGGAAGUGCGAUAGGGGAAUCCCAAGUGCGAGGGCAUACUAGCCCUCGCUUUUGUUGACUGUAAGGAGGUCAACAAAUAAGAGCUGGGCAAGACCGGUGCCAGCCGCCGCGGUAAUACCGGCAGCUCGAGUGAUGUCCAAUUUUAUUGGGCCUAAAGCGUCCGUAGCUGGCCAGCCAAGUUCGUCGGGAAAUCCACCUGCCCAACAGGUGGGCGUCCGGCGAAAACUGUCUGGCUUGGAACCGGAAGGCUCAGAGGGUACGUCUGGGGUAGGAGUGAAAUCCUGUAAUCCUGGACGGACCACCGAUGGCGAAAGCACUCUGAGAGGACGGAUUCGACAGUGAGGGACGAAAGCUAGGGUCUCGAACCGGAUUAGAUACCCGGGUAGUCCUAGCUGUGAACGAUGCUCGUUAGAUGUGGCAC
rnacentral:rRNA from 1 species